UCUCUCUCUCUCUCUCUCUCUCUCUCUCUACCCCUCCCCUGCUUGCUCUCUACCUUUCUCUCUCAAGAAUAAAUGAAUAAACAUUAAAACAAAAUCCUUAAAAGAGAUUCUCAAUAAAUACGUGAAACAUAUAGUUCUGGUAACAAAGACCAAUUAACCACCUGCUUUGUGCCUAGAGCGCUAGCUGCCAGCAAUUCAAAAUACAUAAGACAGGGUCUCAGGGUCUCAUCACCGAGGCCUUAACACCAGGUGGCACAUCACCCAGCUUGUUGGGGCAGCAAAUGUAACACUGAGCACAGCUAACAUGGCAGGGACCCGCCGGAAAUGUGUACCACUUUACGCUCUACAGAGGCCUUUCACGCUGCUUAUUGGAGCCUCACAGUAUUCUUGGUUAGUAAAUUAAACAGGUAUUUCUCCGUGGCACAGAUGAAUAAAGCCAAGACACCCAAGUUUCAGGUGCACUCAGAAGGUCUGACCCCCACCCCCCAGCGUAGGGCCCUUUUGAUAGCAGCUUCUGCCUCUCAGCUCUGAAUGUCCUCUUCAAUAGCUGCUCCGAAAAUAAUGGUUGGAAUCCCUUUAAGGUCUUCUUUACAGUGAUCACAGGUUAAGCUUUCUUGGUGGAGGCCGCUGGAGGAACAGAGCAGGAGGAAGAGGCUUCUCCUGUGGGUUCUGCCAGCGGCCCCAUCAGUCACGCCUGUGAACGUGAAGACAUCUGGUGGCGCUCUGCCCCAGCCAGAGGCCCAGGGUACUCAGUCCCCUAGUGACCCUGCAGUGCUGCCCUCACACUUCCCCACGGUUCUUUCAACACAGACACUGCAUGCGGUAGGUCCUCUGCCCAAAUUGUGACCUUCAGCCUCUCCACAUGCCCGCUCACGCGAGCCAUGGCUCCCUCUGCUCAUACGCCCCUUCCCCCUCAGGUCUGCCCUCACGACAUGGACACCAGGUGCGCCAUGCCUCCUCGAAACAUCUGGUCACUGGCUGUGGCUUACCUACCUCUCAGAAGGUUGCUUCCUGCUCUCCCAGGAACUGUGGACCAGCUCUGGCCUGGCCCAUCCCACACACUUCUCUUCCAUCCGACAGACUUCAACUCUACCUUCUUCAACCAGAUGCAUGGCAGACCGGAGGAGUUCAGUCUCCACAACGUUUACCGAGGACGUGCUAGGUGCCAGGCCUUGGGGCAGACACAGAAGACAUGAUCCCGACAAGACAGGCUGGCUCCUCCAGCAGCUUUUGUUCUGAAACAGACUGUUGGAGGGACCGUUCUGGACUGGCUUCAAAGCAGCUCAGCCCAAGAACAAUGUGACAGUGUCUGGCCCCGGGCGUUCUAGAAGCUGCUGUGUGGCAUUCACCCUGGGAUGGCCUGGAGAUGCGGGAUAGCAGUUUAGGGGAAUGCAUUCAUUUUCAACUGCAGGAGAAAGAAUAACUCCAGAGAACUACAACGUUAUGCUGAGCCAAAUUAGCAGUGAAAUUGAAGAGCAGGAUAAAAUGACUGACAUGCAAGGGUUCAGCCCCCACAGAUCCUCUCUGAGAAGAUACACUUGAGUGUUUCUAGCAAGAAGAAAAGCGACCCUAAGAAAGUGAUCAAGUCACAGGAAGGUGGUACCUUGCAUCCUAUGGGGACGGAGACUGAAUACUUCAGUUUCAGAACAGGACGAGGUUCAUGUGACAGAAGGAAGCGCCCAUGAAUCAGCUGUCCAGACUCCUUUUAGGUGAACCGGAACCCCCACAGCCACAGCCUCUCAAGUGGAGAUUUUAAAGCAGUAACGUCCAAGCACUCAGACAGGAUGCUCUUCAACCACGGAAUUCUCGGGUGACCUUUCCGUAGGAAUCACAUGCAAAUGUCCCAGUGGAAGGUCGUGAUUGGUCUUCAAAGGUCAUCUCCAUUCGUCUAGACGGUUGUCUUCACAAAAGAAGGAAGUUCAGGACCCAGCCCAAGAUCUGGUUCAACGCAAGUUCUCCGCAGAUGCCCGCUUAAUUUCUGGACUGCAGUAGAAGUACAGAGUGGGUUGAAAACUUGCAGAAGGAUCAGAGUUUGUGGGGAUGGUCUCUGGACUUGACCAAGCACCUUCUAGUGGCAGUGAACGAUGGGGUUCUUGGGCAAACGGCUAAGAAAGAAUUCUUGAGAUGUCUUUGGUGCAAAAAGCGAACACAACACACAAGGAUGAGAAUGGAUGUACUGCGCUGGGAUUGCUGUUUCUUCCACAGGUGGGGGUGAGGAACACGGAAGUUCACCCCUCUCUUGCGUUGGCAAGCUCUGAACAUGACCCAGGGCGGCAGGUUCUGCCAAGUCCUGGCCCCAGUGUGCACACAGCUCUCGGCACAGGGAACCCACUUCUCCCGCGGGUCACCCGUGGGGUCAAGGUAAUGAGAGACGGAAGCAGGUUCCAUUUCCCCUCCUGGUUCCAGAUGUCAUGUGACCCUCCCCUCACCCCUGCAGGGUCUAGUUCAUUCUUGCUGUCACCUGCAUCCGGCUUUCUUCUCCACGAUGGCUGACCUAUAGUAACUGCACCUGGAGGUGAGACACAGAAGCAGCAGCCUGCAGGGACUGCAUGGCCAGCAUAGCCUGCGGUCUCCAUUGCAGAAGGUCUAGCCCCCGUAAACGCUACAAAUCCUCCCUUGGUAAAUUACCCCCAGAGGUUCUCCUUCUCUGAUCAGACCCCACCUGAUCCAGUGGGUACAGCUGAUCACACAUGCAGACCCUCACAAUUGCAGGUACAGUGGUAGCCACACCUCGCGUCUAAGAGUUCACGUGCAACGAGGCAGCAUGGACCCUGCCAAUCCCCAUCUCAGAGGCUGUGGCGCCCACCACGCCUUUUCUCUCCUGGGCUGUUGAGGUUGGGACUGGGGUUAACGCAGAGGUGGUGGGACUUGUGCACGUGACCACAACUGGAGGAAGAGCGUGCUCAAAGGGAAGUGGACAGGAUGAAGGUUGCCAUGCAAAACCUUGCUGUGACUGGCGGCGAGAGGGGCAGUGCUUUCGUUUUGGGGCAGCAGGUUGUUGCCUGGUGUCUGUGAACUGGUAGUGGGGAGGGAUCCCAGGGAAUCCCAUGCUGCAGAUUCUGAGGGAUGCAUUUGCCUUCAAAGCAGCAACAGCAGCUGUACCCGGUCCUUGAAUGGUGCUGCGCAGGGGCCAGCUGGGGCCGCAAGCGUUUACAUAGGAGUGGCCCCUUGGGAGGCAGCACUGGAGAGUGGGGCCGAUCACAGCCCUCCGGAGCAGCUAGGCUGCAUGGAUCCGAGGCAGGCUGAGAAAAGGAAAAACAUCCAAAAUGGAAGUAAAAUAUGCAACCAUGUAUAUGUUCACAGGAGGAAAACAUAGGGAUGGGGAGAAAGGAGAGAAGUGGAAACAGUGAACCUCCCAAGACGCCCUGUUACGGAGAGAUAAAAUGAAACCUCCUGUCUGUCACCAGAAUGCCAUAAUUUUAUCAUUCUUCCCACGCAAUGCUGUGCUAUUUUGGGUUCUGGGGUUCCCCCCCACCUCUGUGUGCCCAAGAUGUCUGAGAAACAAACGUGUAAGAAAAUGUUUUAUUCUCCCCAGCAAGGGAUGGAGAAUUCAUUACAGGAAGCGCAUCUCCGAGCUGCCUCCUCCGUGUCAUCAUGCUCUGCCCUGCAGAAGAUUUCGUCUGCGAGCAGAAGCCUAAUGAAUUUGCCCACUGUGGUCCUGUGCCCAGAAACUGAAAUCCUGUUGCGCUUCACUGGUGGGAUCCUUUUCCUCAGCCACGGAGCCAAGCAGAACGGAAAAGAUGGCCAGCCUCCCUUUUGCAAAGACAAUGCGUCUCCCCUCCCCCUUACACACCAUGCCAGUGAUUUCUACAUUCUGCUGGGUCUAAUUUCCUUUGUAAAAGGAAAAAGGAAAAAAAAAACCCACAACAAGACAAAACAAAACAAAAGAAAGAAACUUGGAACUCUUUUGAGGACAAGGAAGGAGAAGCUGGAGGAAGGGGAAGCAUUUGAUGUCACCUGAUUACCAUCUGUUCACCAAGUUAGAUAUUACAUCAAAGGAACAAUCGAGAGCCUGUAUAAACCAGGACGCUGAUGGUCGUCCUUGUACGUGUUGUGCCUCCCUUCUUGGCCUUUCCAGCCAGGCUUCCUCUGUCUCAGGACGGCUACGGCCUUCAUCACCUGUGCACCUCUUCCCACUCUGGAUGAGGUCAGAGCUGCAGGCUGGGCCCCAGGAAGGUCCUGGGUGGGGUCCCCUCCAUACCUCCGUGGUCGGGGCAAGCUUUCCUUGGUGGAGGUCACUCUGCCCAGAGCCCGGAGGCUGGGACAGCCCUGUACAGAGCCCACCGGAGGCUGUGUUGUUUCCAGAAUGGUAUUUUCAGCAGCAGAGCAAGCCAGGAAACUUAAGGAAAGAAGCUGCCAUUCAUCUCCAGGAGGACACAGGACAGGGCAGUAGACUGGUCACCAGCCAGCCCGAACAGCCAUCUGCUAAGAUCAAGUCAUUUCUCCUUGGAACACGAUGACACUUCAGCCUAAGAAGGGAACUGAGCCAGUUUGAGACCUCGGCUUGGGCCCGUUCCAGCUCUGAUAAUAAAAAGUUAUGUUUUCCUCAGAGGGGUCCGUAGUGACAGGGAGAGGACUACUGCCAGGUGCCCUCAGACCUCCCCAUUUCUCCUUGCACCCCCAGACAGAUGCUCUUAUAUCCUGCCAUUUAUAUGCUAUUCUGUGAAAGAGUCAGACCAAAGUGAGCCCUACAGUGCUUGGAAGAUUUAUUUUGCAAUAUAAAAUGCACCUCCUCUCUGUAAACCACACGACUCUCCUUUAACUCUUUACCUGGAUGUUUUGCCAUUUCUGUGCAAGCUGGGUGUUUCUCUGUCGCUUCUAAGACCGCAUCAUGUCUACCCAGAGAUCUCUGAUCGGUCCACUUUUUCCAAGUUCAUCCAUUCUUAAAGUUGAGCACAAAUGCUAUCUCCUCUAUGAGGCCUUGGCUGAGAUCCCAGAGUUCCUGCUUCCCACCCAAGGUGAUCUUCUUUCUAGAUUCCCAUAGAAUUCCCCUAUUUAUGGCAGACUAAAUUUUAAGGAUCCCAUUCAUUUCUGCAUCACUUAAUGGUUGUCUAAGUACAUAGUACAGUGGUUAAGUAUGUGGAUUCUGGAGGCAGAUUUUCUGGGUGCACAGCUGGGCUUACGUAUUCACUGUGUGACCUGGGGCAAAUCAUUUAACCUGUCUGUGUACCAGUUUGUAAGAUGAGGAUAAUAACUAACUAUCACGUAUGACUGUUGUACAAAUUAAAUGAGCAAAUCUCUGCUGAGUGUGUAGAACUGGGACUAGCAAGGCCCAGCAAAGUUGGUUGUGUUUAUUAAUAUGAUUUAUUAUUAUUAUUUUUCCUUUAAGUUUCCUGAUGGCAGGGGUCCAUCUUGUCUAACUUUCUACUCUACCACAGUGUUUUGCAUAUUGAUACAUGUUUAUUUACUUUGCGUAUCGAUGCACAUUUAUUUAUAAAUAAAUAGAUGUCCAAUGAA